GGGAUCUUAUUUCCCCAACCAGGGUCCCGGCAGUGAAAGCGCCAAGUCCUAACUGCUGGACCACCAGGGAAUUCCCUAGUUGGUUACUUGAAUCAAGGUAAUUAAAAAAAUGCUUUACCUAUUAAGGACCUAUUCAUGACACUGGCCUUUACAACAUCCUUUGUUCCAAAAAAUACUUGCUGCUCCUCAUGUUUCUUCUCUUGUCUCCCGGGUACAGUCAAGUUACUGUCACAUGUACAGUACCAACAAUGGAAUGUUUUGAUUACUGAAUACGUAGUUGGAAUCCUUUUAUUGACCCUGAUGUUCCUGUGAAUGACCCAGAAAAUAAGAAUAAAGAAAUAGGAUGCUGUUUUCCUUCUGAGGUCUGAGGAUGUGCUCAAAUCUUUCUCUCUCCAGAACGACAGAGAGCCCCUACUCUGGCCUUGCACACCUAAGCUAUUACCAAUGAAGGAAGUUUCUGUGAUUUUCAUGUGCCAUGUCGAACGCAAGAUUCACAUCAGGGAUCCUCUGGGAUUCUGACUUGGACAAACUCAACAUGGGCCAUGGAUAUUCAACAGCUCUCACUUUAGGGAAGAAGAGUGUUACAAAGUUAAAUGUGCAUAAGGCUACUUGGUCUCCCAUAUUCUAAAAAGUGUGCUUAAUUUAAGUAAUUUAGAAGCAAAAUAGAGUUUCACAUUUUAUUACCUAUGUCAGAAUUUCUGUGAAACUUCAUGACAUUCUAGGACAUUUCCAUAUUUCUUUUUGUCUGGGUGGAAUUAGUGUUUGAGAGCUCUCUGCAUAUUCCUAGCUGAGCUUACCCUCAGAGUAUAAUUUGCAUAUUUUGUCCUGUAAACCAAAGUAAGUUUUGAUCAAAUUUGAAUUAUAUCGGCCAUUUUUCCUUUUGUAUUAUUUUACUCUCCAGAAAGAUUUUUUUUGAACAGUCACACUAAUAAACAGUAAAUAUUACAAUAAAAUUAACAACUUCCAUUUUCUCUAUUUUUGUCACUGUGGUGUUAAAUCUGCACUGGCAAUAAUUAAACUCCUAGAUUUUAGAAGUUUAGGAUGAGAACAUAAAUGGAAUCGGGACAGCAAUUUGAUAGAACUGAAAGGCUUUAGUAUCAGGUAAACUAGGACCGAUUCCUGGUUUUACAUCCUCCUGACUGCAUAACCUUUGAGACUGAGUCCCAGCUUUCUUGCUUGUAAAAUGACAAUAGUAUCAUCUACUGUUAUGAACUGAAUGUUUGUGUCUUCCCAAAAUUUAUGCAUUAAAAUCCUAACCCUCAAUGUGAUAAUAUUAGGAGGCAGAGCCUUUGGGAGGUAAUGAGGCCAUGAGGCUAGAGCUUUCACGAAUAGGAUUAAUGCUAUUCUAAGAAGAGGCACACAUGAGACACCUUGCUCUCUUUCUGUCUCUGCUCUUCACCAUGUGAGGAUACAAUGAGAAGGCCAUCUGUAAACCAGCAAGAGGACCUUCAUCAAGAACCCAACCGUGCUGGCACCCUGACCUCAGACUUCCAACCUCCAGAGAGUGAGAAAUAACUAUGAUGUUUGGGUCAAGUUGCCUGGAUUUAGUCAUUGGGAGUCCUUGGUUAUUAGUAGGAUCCUCAGAGCGGUAGAGGGACGGAAGCCAGAUUGCGCAGACUUCAGCAGGUGGCAGUGUAGCUAUUGAUAGAACACACGGACUUCCCUGAUGUCACAACGGUUAAGAAUCUGCCUGUUAAUGCAGGGGACACGGGUUCGAGCCCUGCUGCGGGAGGAUCCCACAUAUCGCAGAACAACUGAGCCCGUGCACCACAACUACUGAGCCUGCGCUCUAGAGACCACGAGCCACAACUACUGAAGUCCACGUGCUUAGAGCCCGUGCUCCACAACAAGAGAAGUCACUGCAAUGAGAAGCCUGCCACCACAACGAAGAGUAGCCCCUGCUCGCCACAACUAGAGAAAAGCCUGAGCAGCAACGAAGACCCAACACAGCCAAAAAUAAAUUAAAAAAAAAAGAGAGGAAUAAAUGAGCAUGGUAACCAACUUCUGCAAAGCAAAUAAGCAGAGAGAUAAGAAAUAUCAGAGGCCUUGAUGAUUUAGGAAAUGAAUAAGUAGUAUCUGAAUAAUAAAUUAUAAUAAAUAAUAAUAAAUUAACCGGACCUGUCAUGCAAAUAGGACAGAAGUUACUAUAAUUAUACAGGAUUGGUGAUAAUAAACUGAGUAAGA